GACGAACGCUGGCGGCGUGCUUAACACAUGCAAGUCGAACGGAAAGGCCCUUCGGGGUACUCGAGUGGCGAACGGGUGCGUAACACGUGGGUGAUCUGCCCUGCACUUUGGGAUAAGCCUGGGAAACUGGGUCUAAUACCGAAUAGGACCACGCGCUUCAUGGUGUGUGGUGGAAAGCUUUGGCGGUGUGGGAUGGGCCCGCGGCCUAUCAGCUUGUUGGUGGGGUAAUGGCCUACCAAGGCGACGACGGGUAGCCGGCCUGAGAGGGUGACCGGCCACACUGGGACUGAGAUACGGCCCAGACUCCUACGGGAGGCAGCAGUGGGGAAUAUUGCACAAUGGGCGCAAGCCUGAUGCAGCGACGCCGCGUGAGGGAUGACGGCCUUCGGGUUGUAAACCUCUUUCAAUAGGGACGAAGCGCAAGUGACGGUACCUAUAGAAGAAGCACCGGCCAACUACGUG
rnacentral:rRNA from 1 species